ACUCCUACGGGAGGCAGCAGUGGGGAAUAUUGCACAAUGGGGAAACCCUGAUGCAGCCAUGCCGCGUGUGUGAAGAAGGCCUCGGUUGUAAGCACUUCAGUAGGGAGGAAGGUAGUGUAGUUAACACCUGCAUUAUUUGUACGUUACCUACAGAAGAAGCACCGGCUAACUCCGUGCCAGCAGCCGCGGUAAUACGGAGGGGUGCGAGCGUUAAUCGGAAUUACUGGGCGUAAAGCGCAUGCAGGCGGCCUGUUAAGUCAGAUGUGAAAGCCCGGGGGCUUAACCUCGGAAUUGCAUUUGAAACUGGCAGGCUAGAGUCUUGUAGAGGGGGUAGAAUUUCAGGUGUAGCGGUGAAAUGCGUAGAGAUCUGAAGG
rnacentral:rRNA from 1 species